ensembl:miRNA
UGCCUUGUUGGAGGAAGUGUGUCACUGGGGGUGGGCUUUGAGGUUUCAGAAGCUCCAGCCAGGCUUAGUGUUUCUCUCUCUUCCUGCUGCCUGCCAAUCC